rnacentral:lncRNA from 1 species
UAAUGCUACCCAUGGUUAUUGUUUGCAGCAUCUAAAGGAGAAUUUCAAAAAAAAGCUUGGUGGGUUAUUGGUAGCACAAAGAGAAAAAAUAUUAAGCCUACUUGAUAGCGCAGCUUAUGCAUAACAAAUAUCAUAAUUCAUUGGUUAUAUUAGUGUCAUAAGAGAGAUUUCAUCGAAGACAUGUGAAUGGAUUGAACGUGGCUCGGAUAUUGAUCACUGGCCAAAUACUCUAUUUAAGGAAGAGCGAUAUGGGGAGAUGUACUCUAAUAUUGUGGAGUCAUUUAACAAUUAGACAAAAGAGGCACGAUAACUUUCAAUAACUCCUAUGGUAGAUAUGCUACGGUAUAAGAUGAUGGAGUUGAUGCAUGAGAGAUGUGAUCGUUCCCAUAAAUGGUAGAUAUAUUUAGUUUCUAAGAUUGAUGAGCUAAUAAAUAUGAACAUUGAAGAUGGAAGGGGUCUUAC